CCUACGGGAGGCAGCAGUGAGGAAUAUUGGUCAAUGGACGAGAGUCUGAACCAGCCAAGUAGCGUGAAGGAUGACUGCCCUAUGGGUUGUAAACUUCUUUUAUAUGGGAAUAAAACGUUCCACGUGUGGGAUUUUGUAUGUACCAUAUGAAUAAGGAUCGGCUAACUCCGUGCCAGCAGCCGCGGUAAUACGGAGGAUCCGAGCGUUAUCCGGAUUUAUUGGGUUUAAAGGGAGCGUAGGUGGAUUGUUAAGUCAGUUGUGAAAGUUUGCGGCUCAACCGUAAAAUUGCGGUUGAAACUGGCAGUCUUGAGUACAAUAGAGGUGGGCGGAAUUCGUGGUGUAGCGGUGAAAUGCUUAGAUAUCACGAAGAACUCCGAUUGCGAAGGCAGUUCACUGGACUGCAACUGACACUGAGGCUCGAAAGUGUGGGUAUCAAACAGGAUUAGAUACCCCUGUAGUC
rnacentral:rRNA from 1 species